CCUACGAGAGGCUGCAGUGGGGAAUAUUGGACAAUGGGCGAAAGCCUGAUCCAGCCAUGCCGCGUGUGUGAAGAAGGCCUUCGGGUUGUAAAGCACUUUCAGUGGGGAAGAAAGCCUUGGGGCUAAUACCCUCGAGGAAGGACAUCACCCACAGAAGAAGCACCGGCUAACUCCGUGCCAGCAGCCGCGGUAAUACGGAGGGUGCGAGCGUUAAUCGGAAUUACUGGGCGUAAAGCGCGCGUAGGCGGUCUGAUAAGCCGGUUGUGAAAGCCCCGGGCUCAACCUGGGAACGGCAUCCGGAACUGUCAGGCUAGAGUGCAGGAGAGGAAGGUAGAAUUCCCGGUGUAGCGGUGAAAUGCGUAGAGAUCGGGAGGAAUACCAGUGGCGAAGGCGGCCUUCUGGACUGACACUGACGCUGAGGUGCGAAAGCGUGGGUAGCAAACAGGAUUAGAUACCCCAGUAGUC
rnacentral:rRNA from 1 species